AACGCGAAGAACCUUACCAAGGCUUGACAUCCUAGGGAUCCGCUAGAAAUAGUGGAGUGCCUUCGGGAGCCUAGUGACAGGUGCUGCAUGGCCGUCGUCAGCUCGUGUCGUGAGAUGUUGGGUUAAGUCCCGCAACGAGCGCAACCCUUGUCGUCUGUUGUAAUUUCAGGCGAGACUGCCCGGGCCAACCGGGAGGAAGGUGAGGAUGACGUCAGGUCAGCAUGGCCCUUACGCCUUGGGCUACACACGUCAUACAAUGGCCGGUACAACGCGUUGCCAACCCGCGAGGGGGAGCUAAUCGCAACAAAACCGGUCCCAGUUCGGAUUGGAGGCUGCAACUCGCCUCCAUGAAGUCGGAAUCGCUAGUAACCGUGGGUCAGCAUACCGCGGUGAAUACGUUCCCGGGCCUUGUACACACCGCACUACUA
rnacentral:rRNA from 1 species